CGGAGGGUGCAAGCGUUAUCCGGAUUCACUGGGUUUAAAGGGUGCGUAGGCGGGCAUUUAAGUCAGUGGUGAAAUACCUGAGCUUAACUUGGGAACUGCCAUUGAUACUAUUUGUCUUGAAUGUCGUGGAGGUUAGCGGAAUAUGUCAUGUAGCGGUGAAAUGCUUAGAUAUGACAUAGAACACCUAUUGCGAAGGCAGCUAACUACGCGAAUAUUGACGCUGAGGCACGAAAGCGUGGGGAUCAAACAGG
rnacentral:rRNA from 1 species